rnacentral:rRNA from 1 species
GUGGGGAAUUUUGGACAAUGGGCGCAAGCCUGAUCCAGCCAUUCCGCGUGCAGGAUGAAGGCCUUCGGGUUGUAAACUGCUUUUGUACGGAACGAAAAGGUUCUCUCUAAUACAGGGGGCUGAUGACGGUACCGUAAGAAUAAGCACCGGCUAACUACGUGCCAGCAGCCGCGGUAAUACGUAGGGUGCAAGCGUUAAUCGGAAUUACUGGGCGUAAAGCGUGCGCAGGCGGUGAUGUAAGACAGAUGUGAAAUCCCCGGGCUCAACCUGGGAAUUGCGCUUGUGACUGCAGUGCUGGAGUACGGCAGAGGGGGAUGGAAUUCCGCGUGUAGCAGUGAAAUGCGUAGAUAUGCGGAGGAACACCGAUGGCGAAGGCAGUCCCCUGGGCCUGUACUGACGCUCAUGCACGAAAGCGUGGGGAGCAAACAGGAUUAGAAACCCGAGUAGUCC